CCUACGGGUGGCAGCAGUGGGGAAUAUUGGACAAUGGGCGAAAGCCUGAUCCAGCAAUGCCGCGUGUGUGAUGAAGGCCUUAGGGUUGUAAAGCACUUUCGCCGAUGACGAUGAUGACGGUAGUCGGAUAAGAAGCCCCGGCUAACUCCGUGCCAGCAGCCGCGGUAAUACGGAGGGGGCGAGCGUUGUUCGGAAUUACUGGGCGUAAAGGGCGCGUAGGCGGCCAUGUCAGUUGGGAGUGAAAGCCCCGGGCUCAACCUGGGAACUGCUCUCAAUACUGCGUGGCUUGAGAACGGGAGAGGGUAGUGGAAUUCCCAGUGUAGAGGUGAAAUUCGUAGAUAUUGGGAAGAACACCAGUGGCGAAGGCGGCUGCCUGGCCCGUUUCUGACGCUGAGGCGCGAAAGCGUGGGGAGCAAACAGGAUUAGAUACCCUUGUAGUC
rnacentral:rRNA from 1 species